GAUGAACGCUGGCGGCGUGCCUAAUACAUGCAAGUCGAGCGAACGGACGAGAAGCUUGCUUCUCUGAUGUUAGCGGCGGACGGGUGAGUAACACGUGGAUAACCUACCUAUAAGACUGGGAUAACUUCGGGAAACCGGAGCUAAUACCGGAUAAUAUUUUGAACCGCAUGGUUCAAAAGUGAAAGACGGUCUUGCUGUCACUUAUAGAUGGAUCCGCGCUGCAUUAGCUAGUUGGUAAGGUAACGGCUUACCAAGGCAACGAUGCAUAGCCGACCUGAGAGGGUGAUCGGCCACACUGGAACUGAGACACGGUCCAGACUCCUACGGGAGGCAGGAGUAGGGAAUCUUCCGCAAUGGGCGAAAGCCUGACGGAGCAACGCCGCGUGAGUGAUGAAGGUCUUCGGAUCGUAAAACUCUGUUAUUAGGGAAGAACAUAUGUGUAAGUAACUGUGCACAUCUUGACGGUACCUAAUCAGAAAGCCACGGCUAACUACGU
rnacentral:rRNA from 1 species